rnacentral:rRNA from 1 species
UACGGGGGGGGCAAGCGUUGUUCGGAAUUACUGGGCGUAAAGGGCUCGUAGGCGGCCAACUAAGUCAGACGUGAAAUCCCUCGGCUUAACCGGGGAACUGCGUCUGAUACUGGAUGGCUUGAGUUUGGGAGAGGGAUGCGGAAUUCCAGGUGUAGCGGUGAAAUGCGUAGAUAUCUGGAGGAACACCGGUGGCGAAGGUGGCAUCCUGGACCAAUACUGACACUGAGGAGCGAAAGCCAGGGGAGCAAACGGG